GCCUCCCUCUUUCUUCGUGCCUCCUCCCUGCACGUAGACCGCUGAAGGAGUAGCUUGCUCUUCUGGAUGAGUUGCGAACGGGUGAGUAACGCGUAGGUAACCUGCCUGGUAGCGGGGGAUAACUAUUGGAAACGAUAGCUAAUACCGCAUAACAGUAGAUGUUGCAUGACAUUUGCUUAAAAGGUGCAACUGCACCACUACCAGAUGGACCUGCGUUGUAUUAGCGAGUUGGUGGGGUAACGGCUCACCAAGGGGACGAUACAUAGCCGAGCUGAGAGGGGGAGUGGCCAAACUGGGACUGGGACACGGCCCAGACUCCUACGGGAGGCAGCAGGAGGGAAUCAUCGGAAAUGGACGGCAGUCUGACCGAGGAACGCCGCGGGAGUGAAAAAGGUUUUCGGAUCGGAAAGGUCUGUUGUAAGAGAAGAACGAGUGUGAGAGUGAAAAGUUCACACUGUGACGGUAUCUUACCAGAAAGGGACGGCUAACUACGUA
rnacentral:rRNA from 1 species